UACGUAGGGGGCAAGCGUUGUCCGGAUUCAUUGGGCGUAAAGAGCGUGUAGGCGGCCAGGUAGGUCGGUUGUGAAGACUGGAGGCUCAACCUUCAGAGGUCGACCGAAACCAUCUGGCUAGAGUCCGGGAGAGGAGGGUGGAAUUCCUGGUGUAGCGGUGAAAUGCGCAGAUAUCAGGAAGAACACCCGUGGCGAAAGCGGCUCUCUGGAACGGUACUGACGCUGAGACGCGAAAGCGUGGGGAGCGAACAGG
rnacentral:rRNA from 1 species